rnacentral:rRNA from 1 species
UGAACGCUGGCGGCGUGCCUAAUACAUGCAAGUCGAGCGAACAGAUAAGGAGCUUGCUCCUUUGACGUUAGCGGCGGACGGGUGAGUAACACGUGGGUAACCUACCUAUAAGACUGGGAUAACUUCGGGAAACCGGAGCUAAUACCGGAUAAUAUUUCGAACCGCAUGGUUCGAUAGUGAAAGAUGGUUUUGCUAUCACUUAUAGAUGGACCCGCGCCGUAUUAGCUAGUUGGUAAGGUAACGGCUUACCAAGGCGACGAUACGUAGCCGACCUGAGAGGGUGAUCGGCCACACUGGAACUGGGACACGGUCCAGACUCCUACGGGAGGCAGCAGUAGGGAAUCUUCCGCAAAGGGCGAAAGCCUGACGGAGCAACGCCACGUGAGUGAUGAAGGUCUUCGGAUCGUAAAACUCUGUUAUUAGGGAAGAACAUACGUGUAAGUAACUGUGCACGUCUUGACGGUACCUAAUCAGAAAGCCACGGCUAACUACGUG